UACGGAGGAUGCAAGCGUUAUCCGGAAUGAUUGGGCGUAAAGCGUCCGCAGGUGGCUAUGUAAGUCUGCUGUUAAAGAGUGAGGCUCAACCUCAUAAGGGCAGUGGAAACUACAUGGCUAGAGUGCGUUCGGGGCAGAGGGAAUUCCUGGUGUAGCGGUGAAAUGCGUAGAGAUCAGGAAGAACACCGGUGGCGAAAGCGCUCUGCUAGGCCGCAACUGACACUGAGGGACGAAAGCUAGGGGAGCGAAUGGG
rnacentral:rRNA from 1 species